AUGGGCGCAAGCCUGAUGGAGCAACACCGCGUGAGUGAAGAAGGGUUUCGGCUCGUAAAGCUCUGUUGUUAAAGAAGAACACGUAUGAGAGUAACUGUUCAUACGUUGACGGUAUUUAACCAGAAAGUCACGGCUAACUACGUGCCAGCAGCCGCGGUAAUACGUAGGUGGCAAGCGUUAUCCGGAUUUAUUGGGCGUAAAGAGAGUGCAGGCGGUUUUCUAAGUCUGAUGUGAAAGCCUUCGGCUUAACCGGAGAAGUGCAUCGGAAACUGGAUAACUUGAGUGCAGAAGAGGGUAGUGGAACUCCAUGUGUAGCGGUGGAAUGCGUAGAUAUAUGGAAGAACACCAGUGGCGAAGGCGGCUACCUGGUCUGCAACUGACGCUGAGACUCGAAAGCAUGGGUAGCGAACAGGAUGAGAUACCCUGGUAGUCCAUGCCGUAAACGAUGAGUGCUAGGUGUUGGAGGGUUUCCGCCCUUCAGUGCCGGAGCUAACGCAUUAAGCACUCCGCCUGGGGAGUACGACCGCAAGGUUGAAACUCAAAGGAAUUGACGGGGGCCCGCACAAGCGGUGGAGCAUGUGGUUUAAUUCGAAGCUACGCGAAGAACU
rnacentral:rRNA from 2 species